CAUUAAAUGUUUACAAACUUUUUAAAUAAAACAAAAACAAAUCAAUACUACGAUACAGCUGUAUAACACCGAAAUUGAACAUAUGUGUCCCAAAGAUAAUUAAUAUAGUUAUAUGUGUCCUUUAUGAAAGCCACACAAGGAACAUAGUAAAUAAACUAUGAACUUUUUGAACCUGCCUGUGAAAUGUUUAUAUAAAAGCUAAAUUUAUAUUUUUGUUAUGCAUUAGAAAUAUCAAAUGUGUAUAAAAUUUUCUAAUAAAUGUUUCAGUUUGUUUAGUGAUAUUUCAAUCUAGUGUUUAAAAAUAUACAUUUGAUUAGAUAUAACGAAUGUUAUAAGACUUUUAUUCAUGUGAGUUUUAUUUGGAAUUUUAAUAUAAGAAAAAUUGGAUUAAUAAAUUUGCGUUAAGAUUUAAACCAGUGUCUUCAAAAUCCAGGGGAAAUCAUUAGCGAGGCGGAUUCCUCAACCCACCAUUUUAAAAUUAUUUUUGAAUUCUAAACGUUUCCUACAACGUCAACGUACGAAGCCUAAGGAUCACCUAACCACCUUACAUUGCCAAUCUCACAAAGAAGAGCGAGCUGUUUCCAUGGAAUUUAUUUCCAAAAAAUUUAAAAUUAUCAACCAGCAUGAAUGUGAACGUCAAAGCAAUACUUCAAGCAAUAAGUCUUUGUCCGUUUGAAAGUGAUUACAAAAACUACCAAAUCCACUAGAUUCUGCAACGCAAGUUCCGUCUGACCCCAAGGCAGCAUCUGAAAAUAUAAAUGAAACAACCCUACAAGCACCUCAGCUGCCCAAUGAAAAUGUUUAUUUAAGUGUGCCACCAUACAUAAAAAUACAUGUUUCGUAAACAAUCCAAGUGGAAUUAAUUCUAUGCCGCAACAUAAUAUUUCUUCUUUUAAUCUACCGAUUAGUACAAUUGCUGCUAUAGUGUAGUAUCAAGAUUUACUUCAGGUCUUGCCACCACCAGUGGCUUUCAACAACGACUGCAGUCUCAUAGUCAAUCACAUAUACACAGCCUGCCGCCUAUAAUACACCAAGUACUACUAAUGUUAACUUACACCCCGUUCACGGUAUUCGUAAUUCUCGCUCUCAUUCAUCACUCAAGCCCCAAUUACAUACUGAAUGACAUGAUUCGCCAUACAAAAUUUCAGCUGCAAAUUACACGUAAUUUUUAUCGAGUAUUUAUCAAAAUCAGCUUUCAAAACAAAAAUGUCAAAAGAAAACAAACAAAACAUUUUUGUAUUAAAUAAAUAAAUUAAAAGUAAUAAAUAAAAAAUCUGAUUAAAGUUAAAUUUAUUUGCGGAAGUAUUUAAAACUUAAAUGGAGGAAAAAAAGAAAAUUAUAAAAUAAUUAUAAUUUCCCCAAGGUUAUUCGCUACAAUAAAGAUUGAGGAGGAGACAAUUUUAUAUUUUUACCUAUCCUUUUUAUCCAUUGCCAAAUUACAAAUUUAAAACUUGCACCAAACAAAAAAAAAAUAAAUAAACACAAAAAAUAAAGCAUGUUAACAGAAGAAAAAAAUAAACAAAUAAAUGUCAAACUGGAUUAUAAACGUGUCGUGAAAACGGGUUAAUUGGCUAUCGUCAUUCAGAGGUCGAAUUAAGUAAUUUAACCGCUCGUGUGAACUAGGUAUUAUUUAACACGUAUCAAAAUAUGCCUGCCCCUAGCAGCCAAUUUAAAUCAGCUAAAUACAACCUCUCCAAAUAAUUGUGGCUCAAAUUCUCCAUAUUAUUGUUUUUUGCUGAUUUAAACAUUAUUCCGUGCUUGACGCUUGAACGGCAGCUUUAAGCUCGUCAUUCCUUGUCUAAAGAACUACCAGCUUUCUCUGGCCAACCAGAAGAAUGGCCACUUUUAUCAUCCACGUUCGAAUGGUCCACCAAAAUCUACAUAUUUACCGAGGCCGAAAAUCUCAUCAAAUUGCAAAAGUUCCUAUGUGAAGAUGCCUUACAAAAGGUACAACAAAUGCUGUUACAUCCAUCAAAUGUUAAUUGAGUAAUGUCCAUUUUGAAACUUUUGUAUGGAUAAAAUCAACACCUCCUGUCGAUGAAAAUAACUUACCUUCAUUUACUACAUUUGCAAUUAAUUGCAACAAUGGCACUUCACUUCUUCAGGAAUUGAUAGAAAAUCUUCCCAACAACAAAAGACAAAAAACAAACUAUGUUAAUAACAGUAGUAAAAAAGCCUACAUACCCAAAAUGAAGAUCGAAAAUGUUUUGUGUGUAACAACAACAACUGCAAAGUUGUCAAAAAUUUCAUUCUCUUAAUCGUGGAGAUAAAUGGAAUGGAAUGUUGUGAGAAGACAUAAAUUAUGUACAAUUUGUUUGUGUAAACAUAACGGCGAUUGAAAGAAAAAAGUUCAAUGCGGUGUGGAUGGUUAUCAAUAUUAUCAUCAUUCUUCUUUGCAUCGUAAUUCUCAUGAAGAGACAAACAAAUCCAAUUAUAAAGACAACAACAAUGCAGCCGUUGAAAAUAUAAGCAAUACAAAUAUUUUAAAUAUCAGUGAUGUUUUUAAUACAGAAGUGAUGCAAAUAUUAUUUAAAAUAAUGCCAAUAACAGUGUAC